CCUACGGGUGGCUGCAGUGGGGAAUAUUGCACAAUGGGCGCAAGCCUGAUGCAGCCAUGCCGCGUGUGUGAAGAAGGCCUUCGGGUUGUAAAGCACUUUCAGCGGGGAGGAAGGCGUUAAGGUUAAUAACCUUGUCGAUUGACGUUACCCGCAGAAGAAGCACCGGCUAACUCCGUGCCAGCAGCCGCGGUAAUACGGAGGGUGCAAGCGUUAAUCGGAAUUACUGGGCGUAAAGCGCACGCAGGCGGUCUGUCAAGUCGGAUGUGAAAUCCCCGGGCUCAACCUGGGAACUGCAUUCGAAACUGGCAGGCUAGAGUCUUGUAGAGGGGGGUAGAAUUCCAGGUGUAGCGGUGAAAUGCGUAGGGAUCUGGAGGAAUACCGGUGGCGAAGGCGGCCCCCUGGACAAAGACUGACGCUCAGGUGCGAAAGUGUGGGGAGCAAACAGGAUUAGAUACCCGGGUAGUC
rnacentral:rRNA from 1 species